AAGAUUUUUGGCUGCUUUUAAAAAAAAAUAAAAAUUAUUGCUUAGAAGUGCUUUUAAGAUGCCACAAGGCUUUCCAUGAUUGGAUACACACCACGCUACAGUAAAGCAGGCUAGGCUGUAUUGUAUCAUUUCCCACAAGCACAAAUUUUUCUUGUUUGACUAAAUAAAUUCAUUCAGAUAGCUAGCCACUAUUAGAUAUUAAGCAGGGAUGAACACUAACUGCCUGAAAACUUCAAAUGAAGGAUACCGACAGAGUACCCUUCAACUCCCUGAUUCCUCCAUCCAUCUUCACAAUAUCCAUGGAUAACCUUCUCUAGAAGCGACCCAAUCACUGGUGUUGAUGGAAUCAGUCUCUGUUUUGGAGGGAGGAGAAUGCAGCCGGAUAAGUUUUUCAAUCCCAAACAUAGAAGUGGCAGGAUUUCCCCUGGAACUAUCAUCAAAGUUAAACUUCCACAUACAACUGGGAGGAGGAUUCUGUGCCAAGCAAGUAGUGUAGGGUGUCUAAUGCCCUCGAUAAUCUCCAAUGAACAUGACACUCCCUCAAAUUCCUUGCACACCAAUGCCCAACUGCCAAAGAGAUUAUCCUAUAUCGAACCCUUUCUGCCACCUGGGCAAUGCUUUUUGAUUUGUAUAUGGGUGAUUGAAUGGUCAAUUAUUCCUCUCUUUCCACUACAUCCCUGGAAGAGAGAAAUGCCAGAGAAUUGUCACUUUGCAUUUUAAAUCCGAAUUCCAUGCUUCAAGGGUCUUUUUUCA